AAGAGGGGGAGAAAUAGGGGGGGAUAUGGGGUUAAAUGGGGGAGAUAUGGGGUGAAAAGGGAGGAGAUAUGGGGUGAAAAAGGGGUACAUAUGGGGCAAAAGGGGGGAGAUAUGGGUCUCUAUGGGGUUUCUAUGGGUCUCUAUGGGUCGCUAUGGGUCUCUAUGGGUCCCUAUGGGUCUCUAUGUGUCUCUAUGUGUCCCUAUGGGGUUGCUAUGGGUCUCUAUGGGUCCCUAUGGGUCUCUAUGGGUCGCUAUGGGUCCCUAUGUGUCCCUAUGGGUCCCUAUGGGGUCGCUAUGGGUCGCUAUGGGGUCGCUAUGGGUCGCUAUGGGGUCUCUAUGUGCCCCUAUGUGUCCCUAUGGGGUCGCUAUGUGUCCCUAUGGGGUCGCUAUGGGUCUCUAUGUGUCCCUAUGGGUCGCUAUGGGUCUCUAUGGGUCGCUAUGGGUCUCUAUGGGUCGCUAUGGGUCGCUGUGGGGUCGCUAUGGGGUCUCUAUGUGUCCCUAUGGGUCCCUAUGGGGUCUCUAUGUGUCCCUAUGGGGUCUCUAUGUGUCCCUAUGUGUCCCUAUGGGUCUCUAUGGGUCUCUAUGUGUCCCUAUGUGUCCCUAUGGGUCUCUAUGUGUCCCUAUGGGGUCACUGUGGGUCGCUAUGGGUCUCUAUGGGUCUCUGUGGGUCUCUAUGUGUCUCUAUGUGUCGCACCUCGUCCUUGCAGCGCAGGAAGGUGUGGUACUUGUAGUGGUGCAGGGAGUGGUACAGCCCGUACAGCAGCGACUGCUCCAGCUCCACCUUGAACUCCUGGAGGGGGGGGGGCAGCACUCAGAGACCCCCAUGGACCCCCCCAGGUCCUUUAAGACCCCCAAGGACCCCCCCAGGACCCCUAAAUCCCCUUUAAGACCCCCCAGGCCCUUUAAGACCCCCCCA
rnacentral:lncRNA from 1 species